rnacentral:lncRNA from 1 species
AUAUUCCCACUACAUAAUAUCGUGGCAUUUUACUUCCAAUUCUUUUCUUAUGUAUAUGCUUUUCAUUAAGUGUGAAUGUGAUCCUUUUAAAAAUCCAGUAAAAAUAUAUAGUGUGAUCUUGCUUUUUAUUUACAUAAUCCUUACUACAUUGUACCAAUAUUAUUCUGCAACUUGCUUUUCUACUCCAAUAUUACACUUUUUAUUUAUUGUGAUACAUAUGGAUCUAAUUUAUUCCAUGCUAUGAAGAUGGACAUUUAAGUGGUUUAUAUUAAGUUGUUAUAUUCAAGUUUCUGGUUAAUAUCCAGUUGGCACACCCUGAUAUUUGGGCAUUCCAUAUUCCUCUGUCUCUUCAAUUCCUCCUUAAUGCAUAUUUUUUCUUCACUAUUUUCACCCCAAAAUGGGUAUCAACCAAAGUACCGACCUAAGAAAACUGUGAAUAUUAAGUAAAGUAGAAACAUAAUCCCUGGGAAGGUUUGUUACUUACUCGGCACAACGUUUUCUUCCAAUCUAAAAGGGCAGAAGACACAGCCACGAAACAAGCGCUGCAAUCUGGAGCUUCUCCGGUUUUACCCUGAAUUCAGCUCUCAUCACCACCCUAGGAGGUGGGGGAAUCCUCUUAUCCCCAAUUCACAGAUGAAGAAAACUGUGACAACUGCUUUAAGAUCUCCUUUUCUGCCCCCAAGGAUUCUAAAGCUAACACAACAAAACGACCUUUUAUUUACUGGUUUACUUGACGUGCUUACUGACACCUCGUCUGAUCAAACCUUCAGGGCCAGCCCCAUCGGCCGCACGUCGCUGGCUCCCAAUUAGCACUGAAGGGUGGCUGGAAUAAAUGAAUGGAGAAUUCCAGGCCUAGCCGGACGCGAUCUGAUCCGGUUCGGCGGCGAGGAGGGGGCCCCGGACACCCUCCCCCUGCCCAUCGGGGCGGGCCGCCUGCCCCGCGCCACACCGUCCAAUGGGUUUCGCCUGCCUCGCGGGUGGUCAGGCCCCCUUCUCACGCCCACCACACAGCCACUGCCACGAGCCGCCACGCCGGCAGGACACCGGCUGCCUUCGGACAGGUGCUCCCGCAGGAGGCCCGCCUGAGCCGGGUGGGGCAAGACGGCGGGACCCUGAGUCACCGCCGGUAGCCUCGGCCUUGGCGUCACCGACUGCCGGGCCAAGGCGAGGUCCGAGCCUGCGGCCGGCCCGGGUCUCCUGGGGCAGGCUGCCCGUCCUUCCCGCCGGAGUCCCAAGAGGCCCCCAGCCCCUCGGCACCGCGCGGCGCGGGCCUCCCGGCCUACCCAGCAGCCCCGCCCAGGCCCACCUCUAAUUGCCUGACCAGCCCAGAGAGUGGGUCUCUGGCGGUCACCUUCCCCCACACCGUGGCCAGUGGGCUCUAUGGUAAACACAGGACAGAGGUCAGACCAAUCAUGAGACGUGGUGAGUUCCUGAUUUGUUAUUUUGACUGUACUAAGUGUUGGGGUCAGUCUCUGAGACCGACUGACUGAACUGGGAUUUGGGGUGGCCAGAUUCUGUGAGAUGGACUGGAGAAGAAGAGAAAGCCAGUGAAUGGAAAAAUAAUGAUAAAAUGAAAGGAAGAGUAGAGAGUCACAGAGAAAUUCUGAUGGUUUUGUGACUCCCAGCUUAAGACUUUUCCAGGGCCCAGUGGCAUUCACUUUCUUGCAGACACCCCUUUAUCAUUGUAAUAAAUUCCUCUUUUCUGCUAAAGCUAGGGGUAUCUGUUAACUUUAACAAAUGAGCCCCGCCCUGCCUAGUGUGGAAAGUGCUCAAAUAGAGGUAAAGAUAUUUCUGCCAGAACAUUCUGCAGCAAUUCACGUCUGUCCCUGCCAGUAUUGACUAAACAAGAUGCCUAACAGGAAUGCCAGCUGAUCCAGGAAGGCAGAGCCCAGGGUCUCCUUUGGGCGUUUCUUGC